AAAUUAUUUAAAUAUUUAAGAAGUUGUGUUUAUUUGGAAUAGAUACCAUUGGUCUUUUAACUUCGGUGGGAGAAGAGAAAUAAUAUGUAAAAGAGGGGAAAAUCGUGAAAAUAAUUGUGCUGGAAUUAAUUUUAAAAGAUCCUACAAUGCGUUGUGCAUUGUUUAGGGACUAUGUUAAUCAAGUAAAUCAUUUUUUAGCCUCUGGCUAUGUGGAGCAGCUUGUUUUAGUCAUUCAACUUGCGAAAGUCAAGUUCUUUAAUUAGGGGUACAUUGUUUAAUUUCUGUACAUUUUCUUAUUGCUACUCUGAGUGUUGUCUCCCAUAAACUUUGCUAGACUCUUUCGGUAUUGCUGUGUAGGUCAAGUAGGUCUCCAAAAUGUGAUGUAUGUCAAUCAAAUGUUAUUUAAUCCUGAUCUUUUUGAAGUUGUUGAAUUCAGACAGAGGUUAGCAUGGUUUAUUUCGCUGUUUUUGUUUCUAUUCUUAGGAUACAACCAAUCUAGAGUAAUAAGUACAUGUAUUUGCAUCAUUUUUUUUGUUAGUAUGAUUGAGCAAGAUGUCAAAGGUACCCAGCCACUAUUUAUUGCAAAUGAGGGUAAAAUUAUUUUCUUGAAAUAUGAUUUCAUGCGCUUAACUAGAAGAUGCACUAUUGAAGAGCUCCAAGAUAACAAUGAGGUUGGCAUUUAUUGAGUUAGUUGUGUUUAUUUUAUACACCAAUGAACGAAAAAAAAAAAACAAUUUUCAGAUCUAUUCUUUUAUGCAUAUUGUUAAUAAAUUUUUAAAAUGUCCCUUGCCUAGGAGGGUUCUUUUAUCAUUUUUGAUACAAUCAGAGGUAUUGUUGAAGAUGAAAAUUGGUGGUAUUCUGCUUGUGUGUGUGGAAAGGGUAUCUAUCCUCAAAAUGGUGCAUACUACUGUGAUUUCUGUGUGAAACAUAUAACUAAUGUCACUCCGAAGUAAAAACAAAAAUUUGUUCAAAAUGUUUUUUCAUUUUUGUUUUGCGGAUCUUUUAUAAGAAUAAUAUUUCAUGUUAUUAUUCAUUUUGAAACAUUGUUUUUUUUUCGAUUAUGCAGAUUUAAAAUUAAAAUAACACUUGAAGAUCAUAGUGGGGAGGGUAUUUUCGUUCUGUUUGAUCGUGAGCAUCUUAUUUGUUUAAGAAAUCAUGCGCUGACCUGUUUACUGAGGUUCAAAAAGAUGCAAGUGUAUGUUCUUAGUUUUCUUUUGUGUGUUGUUCACUUUGUGGUUCAUUUUUUUAUAACUAUAUUCUUUAUUUUGGUUGAUAUGUGUUACUCAAUCUGGGUAUUUCUUAUCUAUUACCUUGAAAAUAGCUUAUAUGUGGGGAUACUUAUCCUCCCAUAUUCCAAGGGCUCAUUGGGAAAAAGUUGCUGCUGAAAGUUGAUACCAAAGGUGUCGGACUUGAUAAAUUUUUUGGCACUUUCUGACUUAGGAGAGCAUGUGAUGAUCCCACCAUUAUUGCUAUGUUUGAACUUCCUGAUUAUGAUGCUGAUGAUGAGUCUACUCCAAAAAAGGUUACAUAUACAUAUAAGUAUUUUUAGAUUGUGUAAAUUCAUUUUUUUUGGUAUUGUGCUGUGGUCAACUUUUCUUAUGUUCUUUUUUAUUUUUUAACUCUUAUGUUAUAUGAAUAGGAGCCUGAACUAAAAAAACCCGUGUCAUGUGAAAAAGGAGAUACUGAUAUUAAGAAAGAGUCACCAAGCACUUCUAUUAAAAGUGACAAUGUUGUUGCCGAGUCUUCUGCGAUUUUAUCUAAAUCCCCAGUUCUUAUAGAUUUCCUGGUUGAAAAAUAGCCUAAUGUUUCUGGAGGGAUUGAGGUUGCUGCUUUAAUUAAUGAUGAAAAUGGAAAUGUUGAAAAAACAACCAAGAAUGAUACCCUUAGUGAUGACUUUUUUUCUGAACGGGAUAUAUUGCUUAGCUCACCCGUGAAAGAAACUCAGGUGCGAUUAUAUAAUACUUUUUUUCCUUUCUUAUGUGUGCCGUUUCUAAAUGGAUUUUUCAUCGAGUCAUUUUCAUACCUUUUGUUAAUUCCUAUGUCAUAGGAGGUGUUCUUCCAAGUUCUAAAAGCAUGUUCCCACUAUAGAGAAAAGGUUAUUCAUGAAGAUCAUGUUGUCACUUCCAAGGGCAAGAGGAAUUUGAAUCCUCAAUUUGAUGAGGCAGCUAAUGAUGCAAAUGGGCGUGGGUCCAAGAUUACCAAGGUUGAUGGAAUUUGAUUUAAGUUGUGGAGUUGAGCUGCUGUGUCUAGGUGUAGGUAUGUUAUAUAAUAUAUCUAUAAGUGUUUAGAAAGGCUUAUGAUUUCAAGUGGAUCUAAACUAGCGUGAAGACCCGUGUAAAUGCGCGGGAUUAAAGUUUUGUUAACAUUUUGAAAAAUGAAAUUAUUCAAUAUAAUCAGUAUAUUUUAGAGAAAACUCUCAUAUCUAAUAUUAAUAUUUAAAAAAAAUAACCAUACUAAUUUAAUUAUAUACUAAAAAAAUAAUCAUACCUUUU